GGAGUUAGCCGGUGCUUAUUCAUAUAAUACCGUCAUUAUCUUCUUAUAUAAAAGGAGUUUACGCACCGAAAUGUGUCAUCCUCCACGCGGCGUUGCUGCAUCAGACUUUUCGUCCAUUGUGCAAUAUUCCCCC
rnacentral:rRNA from 1 species